UACGUAGGGGGCAAACGUUGUCCGGAUUUAUUGGGCGUAAAGAGCGUGUAGGCGGCCAGGUAGGUCUGCUGUGAAAACUCGAGGCUCAACCUCGAGACGUCGGCGGAAACCAUCUGGCUAGAGUCCGGAAGAGGAGAGUGGAAUUCCUGGUGUAGCGGUGAAAUGCGCAGAUAUCAGGAGGAACACCAACAGCGAAGGCAGAUCUCUGGGACGUAACUGACGCUGAGACGCGAAAGCGUGGGGAGCAAACAGG
rnacentral:rRNA from 1 species